CCCUGCGUGAUGAUGCAAACCAGUAGGGAGGACGGGCUCUGGGAAGGGUGGGGAGUGUCGGAGAGCUAGCGAAGGAGGGAGGGAGUGGGAGGAGGAGGAGAGGGAGCCGAACGACCAUUUAAAGCGAUAGCAAUCCUUGCCCUCUCCCCAGUGCUGGGUUGUUGGAGAGCGCGAGCGGCAAGCCGGGGAGCGCGAGCGCGGCGCGCGGGCGGGCGAACCCGGGAGCGCACGGAGCCCCAAUCUGGCAGGCGCCGCGGGACCCCCCAUCUUCUCUGGCUGCCCCUCCCCGGGCGCCCCCACCCUCCGUGCCUGCAGGAGUCUCAGGGCUUCCCCGGAGGACCUCACCCCAAGGGGCCCGGACCCCGGCGAGCCCGCCACCAUCCCCUCCAGCGCUGCCGCCACCACCGCAGCAGCCGGAGCAGCAUGGUCCAGCUGGGGAAGCUGCUCCGCGUCCUGACUUUGAUGAAGUUCCCCUGCUGCGUGCUGGAGGUGCUCCUGUGCGCGCUGGCGGCGGCGGCGCGCGGCCAGGAGAUGUACGCCCCGCACUCUAUACGGAUCGAGGGGGACGUCACCCUCGGGGGGCUGUUCCCGGUGCAUGCCAAGGGUCCUAGCGGAGUGCCCUGCGGCGACAUCAAGAGGGAGAACGGGAUCCACAGGCUGGAAGCGAUGCUCUACGCCCUGGACCAGAUCAACAGCGAUCCCAACCUGCUGCCCAACGUGACGCUGGGCGCGCGGAUCCUGGACACUUGUUCCAGGGACACUUACGCGCUCGAACAGUCGCUCACUUUCGUCCAGGCGCUCAUCCAGAAGGACACCUCCGACGUGCGCUGCACCAACGGCGAGCCUCCGGUUUUCGUCAAGCCGGAGAAAGUAGUUGGAGUGAUUGGGGCUUCAGGGAGUUCGGUCUCCAUCAUGGUAGCCAACAUCCUGAGGCUCUUCCAGAUCCCCCAGAUCAGUUACGCAUCAACGGCACCUGAGUUAAGUGAUGACAGGCGCUACGACUUCUUCUCUCGUGUGGUCCCACCUGACUCCUUCCAAGCUCAGGCUAUGGUGGACAUUGUAAAGGCCCUAGGAUGGAAUUAUGUGUCUACCCUUGCAUCUGAAGGAAGUUACGGAGAGAAAGGUGUGGAAUCCUUCACGCAGAUUUCCAAAGAGGCAGGUGGGCUCUGCAUUGCACAGUCUGUGAGAAUCCCCCAAGAGCGCAAAGACAGAACCAUUGACUUUGAUAGAAUUAUCAAACAGCUCCUGGACACCCCCAACUCCAGGGCCGUCGUGAUUUUUGCCAACGAUGAGGAUAUAAAGCAGAUCCUUGCAGCAGCCAAAAGAGCUGACCAAGUAGGCCAUUUUCUUUGGGUGGGAUCAGACAGCUGGGGUUCCAAAAUAAACCCACUGCACCAGCAUGAAGAUAUUGCAGAAGGAGCCAUCACCAUUCAGCCCAAGCGAGCAACAGUCGAAGGGUUUGAUGCCUAUUUUACGUCACGCACACUUGAAAACAACAGAAGAAACGUAUGGUUUGCUGAAUACUGGGAGGAAAACUUCAACUGCAAGUUGACAAUUAGUGGGUCAAAGAAAGAAGACACAGAUCGCAAAUGCACAGGACAGGAGAGAAUUGGGAAAGAUUCCAACUAUGAACAGGAGGGUAAAGUUCAGUUUGUGAUUGAUGCGGUCUAUGCAAUGGCUCAUGCCCUUCAUCAUAUGAACAAGGAUCUCUGUGCCGACUACCGAGGGGUCUGUCCGGAAAUGGAGCAAGCUGGGGGAAAGAAGUUGUUGAAGUAUAUCCGCAAUGUUAAUUUCAAUGGUAGUGCAGGCACCCCAGUAAUGUUUAACAAGAAUGGGGAUGCACCAGGGCGUUAUGACAUCUUUCAGUACCAGACAACAAACACCACCAAUCCUGGUUACCGUCUGAUUGGACAGUGGACAGAUGAACUUCAGCUCAAUAUAGAGGACAUGCAGUGGGGUAAAGGAGUCCGGGAGAUCCCCCCCUCAGUGUGCACACUGCCAUGCAAGCCUGGGCAAAGAAAGAAGACUCAGAAGGGAACUCCGUGCUGCUGGACCUGUGAGCCUUGUGAUGGCUACCAGUACCAGUUUGAUGAGAUGACAUGCCAACAUUGCCCCUACGACCAGAGGCCCAAUGAAAACCGAACCGGCUGCCAGGAUAUCCCCAUCAUCAAAUUAGAGUGGCAUUCCCCCUGGGCCGUCAUCCCUGUCUUCCUAGCAAUGUUGGGGAUCAUUGCCACCAUCUUUGUCAUGGCCACUUUCAUCCGCUACAAUGACACGCCCAUUGUCCGGGCAUCUGGGCGGGAACUGAGCUACGUUCUGUUGACUGGCAUCUUUCUUUGCUACAUUAUCACUUUCCUGAUGAUAGCCAAACCUGAUGUGGCCGUGUGUUCUUUCCGGAGAGUUUUCUUGGGCUUGGGUAUGUGCAUCAGUUAUGCAGCCCUCUUGACAAAAACCAAUCGGAUUUAUCGCAUAUUUGAGCAGGGCAAGAAAUCAGUGACAGCUCCCAGACUCAUAAGCCCAACAUCACAGCUGGCAAUCACUUCCAGUUUAAUAUCAGUUCAGCUUCUAGGAGUUUUCAUUUGGUUUGGUGUUGACCCACCCAACAUCAUCAUAGACUAUGAUGAACAUAAGACAAUGAACCCUGAGCAGGCCAGGGGAGUUCUCAAAUGUGACAUUACAGAUCUCCAAAUCAUUUGCUCCUUGGGAUAUAGCAUUCUUCUCAUGGUCACAUGUACUGUGUAUGCCAUCAAGACUCGGGGUGUCCCAGAGAAUUUUAAUGAAGCCAAACCCAUUGGAUUCACUAUGUACACGACAUGUAUAGUGUGGCUUGCCUUCAUUCCCAUUUUUUUUGGCACUGCUCAGUCAGCGGAAAAGCUCUACAUACAAACUACCACGCUUACAAUCUCCAUGAACCUAAGUGCAUCAGUGGCGCUGGGGAUGCUAUACAUGCCGAAAGUGUACAUCAUCAUUUUCCACCCUGAACUCAAUGUCCAGAAACGGAAGCGAAGCUUCAAGGCGGUAGUCACAGCAGCCACCAUGUCUUCACGGCUGUCACACAAACCCAGUGACAGACCCAACGGGGAGGCAAAAACAGAACUCUGUGAAAACGUAGACCCAAACAACUGUAUACCACCAGUAAGAAAGAGUGUACAAAAGUCUGUUACUUGGUACACUAUCCCACCAACAGUAUAGCUUUUGCCUGCUUUCUAAAAGCACAUCAUCUGGCCAGGAUUUGUGAACGCUAAGGGCAUUUUUAAGUUGGGUCCAUCAAAGAAAUGUUUGUCAAGCACCACUCCUCUGGGCCAGCCCUGGACAGACUAGGAAUUGGGGACAGAAGCGGACGAUACCCUCAGGGAGCCCAGAUCUGAUGGAAGACUCGAAGGUAAGAAAUGAUCAUUCAGAUUGGCAAUGCCUCUUAGAAGAGGUCUAUGCCAAGUGCUAGCAAGCUAUAAGUGGAGAGCAUCACCCAGGUUUUGUUUGAGCUGGUCUCAAAUGAUGAAGGACUCCAGGCAACCAUAAAGAAAAGUCACAAAAGGCAGAAAACAAAUAUGCACAAAGAACCCAGCGUACAAAAGAAUAUGGUAUAUGGUGAGACUAGAAGGCAGUUCUGUGAGGCUGGAAUAUUAUGUUUUGAGGCAGACAGUUGCAGGGAAUGACAUGCAGGAAAGCAGCUGGUAUGUAGAGGGACUGAGUCACCUGUAUCUUUGUGCCUGUAGCAAAGGGCCUGGCAAAUACUAGGUUCUCAGAAAAUGUGCAUGGAUUGACUGGAGUAUAAUACCUCACAUACUAAAGGCUCCUAAACUUACCUAGAACACAUUAUGUACACAUAAUAACAAAAUUCCGCAUCAACAGACUCAGCAAGUAGAACUGUAUUCUUCCAGAUAAAACCUCUAAAAGUUAUAAACUGCCUUGAAAGGCAUUUUUUUUUACCCUGAUGUCACAGGUUUCAAAACUAUGCCGUAGUUAUUACAUAAAACUCUUAAAACUGACAAUCAAUGCUAUAUCUGCAUUUGUGUAAUUAACUAAGAUGUCUUUUGAUGAGCUAACCCUGUGUAUAAAACCAACAAAGUUUUAUGCCCACUUCUUUCCUUUUAUGGACUACUGAUACCCUAUUUGUGUUUCAAAGGGCACAUGAACUUCAAAUUUACCACUGGAAAUGGAUCCUAUGCACUUGCUUAAGUAGUUAGCACUUCUAAUUUGGUAAAAACAAAAAUAUUAUCAAUUUCAUUGUUUUCUGAUUAUUAAGUGCUUUUAAAUUUUUUAAAAAAUUUUUAGAGACUGGCAUUUAGGACAGAUUUUGUCUUUUAGGCCUCAAGUAUCAUUUGCAUUUAAAAAGAAAACAGUGUAUCCUAAACCAAAGUCAGUUAAUCUGUACAAUCUUUCUUCUUCCCAAUUACUGGAAUGAGCAUCCUCUCAGGACUCAAGUGACGGUGACUCUUAUUUCUGCCUUCUAAAGACAUGUCUCAGCUUCGCAGAUUUUUUUUUUUUUUGGCUGUACAAUGGAACUUGGAUGCAUUUUAAAUUAACUUUCUCUAGGAAUCAAAGAGUAACCUCUGAGGACCCCAGCUUGCACUAAGAGGACUGAGCAAAUGUGUCCAAAGCCUGUUCUUGCUGAAGUGACCCAAACACUUAGAAGAACAUGACAAGAAUCAGCAAUCCCACUUCACGUAAGUGUUGGUCCAAGUAUUGGUUAUGACCUUGUGUGUGCUGUUUCUUUUCUCUGGCCAAGAAAAAGGAAAACUGGGCUAAGCCCCUAAUGGUGGCUCUCCUAUUUGAGGUAGCAUAAGCUUUAUCACCUCACGAACCUCUGUGAUCUUGGAUAAGUCAUAUCCUAUGUGAUCUUCGGUUUCCUCUGGUGUAAGAUGGGAGCAUGCUCUUCUCCAGGGGAAUACCAUGAAGCUUGAAUGGAAUCGUGUAAAUAAAAGCCUUCCUUUAUAAAGGAUGUGCAUAUAUGAGGUAGGACUGUUAGUCCCUAAUCAUCUAUUUUAAUUGGCUUUGCUUUCUCCUUUUUUUUAUGUGGUUACAUUUUUUGGUUACCGUAAACCAUCAAAGUUGGAAGGAAUGACAUCUAGAUUGCCAAUGAAGUCGGGCAACCUUUUCUCUAGGUACAACAGGCUCUAUUUUUGAGAUGGGUCACUUUGGUCUUUUGAUGGGUCAGUAAUAGUCUUUCGGCUUGGUGAAAUUGACACAGAAUGUUAUCAGUCACUCAGCGAGACUGCUGUGGGACAGAUAGACUCAUACUGCCUGAUACAUGAACCACUCCAUAUGAUUAACUUCGACAGGUAACUCCACGCUGGCUGGCAAGCUGAAGAGCAUUUUAAGUACAAAUAAUCAUUCUGGGGUAUGUCUUGAGUGACAGAAUAAUGACUGAGUGGAAGAGAGUCCCUUAAUCUUUGCUUGUGAAAACACAUUUUGUUUCCUUUCAAGGCUAGGGUACUACAACAAAAUCAAUUAACAAAACCCCUCAGAGAUCUUUGUUGGUACUUUGAUGUUUGGUAUUUAUCAAGCUUAUAUCAAAUAUAGAAUUUCCUUGAAGAGCUAGGCUCAUUUAUCUCAGUCUUCAAAGGGCCUCACAUAACACUUUAUAGCAAUUUAAUAAUAAUAAUAAUAUCAAUUAGGAUGAUGAUAAUAGUUGGACCAUAUUAUACCUUUUGCUACAGACUUACAACCAUCCAUUGAGAGAGGACUUACCGUCCCCACUUAACAUAUGAGGAAACUGAGGCUCAGAGCAGUGAGGCAACUUCCUAGUGACACACACAACUUCCCAAUGGCACAGUGGAUGUCUCAACGUGGGCUUCUGGCCACAGUCCUGUUUAAUCAACUUUUCUGAAAUUAAAUGCACUGGGACACAAUGAGUUUCAGUCUGCAUAAUCUAUCUUAUCAACAUUUAUGGCUCUCAUCGUUUGAUUCUAGAGGCCCUCCAGGGCUUCAAGACAGAAAUCGUAAUCUGAGUUAAGGGUCAUUUUGAAAUGAGAUGUGCCCUCUUUUGUUUUUUCUUCCUGGAUGUUAUUGCAAAUGAUGAGACUAUUCGGUGUUCUUUCCACAUAUUCUCUAAUUCUUUUGUUGGUCUGAAAAAUUAAAGACUGUAGCUGUUGCUCUAAGAACAUGGGUCUUCUAGACUUGAAAAUGUUUAACUCUUGAGAAUUCAGUGAAAUCCAUUGAAUAACAAACUCAAGACCUCCCAGUCAUCCUGGGCUGAGUGCAGCCUGUUCAGAGUUACAGUCCCAAGUCAUCAUAUAUUGAUGGCUGUAAGCAGACUCUCCCUCCUCGUGAGAACCAAAGCUAAUAGAAUUAAGCUCAGAAAAGGAUUUGCUAACAUUUUUUAAAAAAUGUCAUGUACCUAACCCAAAAAUGUGGAAAGGUAAUUGCCACCAUGGCUUCAUCACCUGUUUUCUCUCUGCUCUUGCAGGAGUGAAGCCCCAUAAAGAUACUGGGCACCAGAGUCAUUAUCAUCUGUGUUAGCUGAAAAUUUGAUUAAGCUGGCCUCCCUGGGUUUACAUGAGAAAUUCUAGAUUUUUGUUCUAGGAACUUAAUUCCUCUAUUCCUCAUUUUGGCCAUGUUUGCAAAUUUCCUUUGCAUUUAAAUUUGCCGUGGUUUGCCUGAGUCCAGACUGAGACUUCAGCUGUUGUUUCUAUUCAGGUGAAAAGUGCAAGCACACCUGGCGAUGUGCACAGGCAUACAGUCAGGCGGUGGUCCAAGGCAAGUAUCAUUUCACAUCCUUCUAAGUGUCCUGAGGAAGCUUUGCUACCCAGCCCACCAAUGAAUGUAAUGAAGAGACCUUCUCCAGUUUCCAGGACAAGCUUAGUCCCUAGGUGGUCCUCCUCACAUACCGUCAAUGUCCUCUCAAUAUUCCAAAACCAUGAGAAAUUACACUAAGGAAGUCUUCAGACCUUAGCCCAUUAGAACCUUUUCUAGGGGCUUUAUUUAGGAAAGACAUCAAUACCAUCAAAUUGAGAAAGAGAUCCCUACUAUGAUCUACUGUGAUGUGACCCUUUCAAAUACAUUCCCUCCCUGGGUAGUGGGUUCUCAGUGCAUCCUGGGUAAAGAGGCAGGUACUGUAGCAUCACUGGGGGCUCCUACCUAACUCCCCUACAAAGUAAAAGGAAGUGAAAUAGAGGGUCAGCAUGUGAUACCCUGCCUCAUUUAUGCCAAGUGGGUAAAGUGCUGACCCUUUAGAAAAGAUCAUCUCUCUGUGCCUCAGUUUCCUCAUCUGUAAAACAUAACCUCAUAGGGUAGUUGUGAAGACUACAUAAAAGUAAAGCACUUAGAACUGAGUUUGGCACAGUAGUUAUUCAAAUGUUAACUAUCAUUGUUGUUAUUAGGUCACUUAACAUUAACUGAAUUUUUCUAUUUGUGUUUCCUCUAGGAAAGAAUUUGGAGAUUCGAAUCUGAUCCUUUUCCAUGUGAUCUCUUGUACCCAUUCUAUUUUUGUACCACAUGUAAUAAAGUUUGAGAGUGCAAGUAAUCCAUCUGUAUCUGAUUUUUGUCUGGAAAAACUUGCAGGAUUUUCAGAUUGAGUAUCAAUACAUCUCCUGUCUUGUCUUUCACCUGUUCAGUAUUGAUCAUUUCUGAAGCAAUGGUGUCUUAAAGCCAAAAGUUUACUGAAGUAACUAGAUACCUGAGAAACCACACAUAAACACACUUUGCUUCCAUUCAGUUUCAUAACACAGCAUAUAUUUCCUGAACUUAGGCAUAAAUACAUUCAACACGGUCACCACUGUGGCAAUGUUACAUUAACAUAUUACUGUUAGUACUCAGGUAUUUAAGGAAAUACCAAGGAGCAAUUUUAAAAUUCUAUUUAUGGCAGAAAAUCUGUGAAGAAGAAAUCUUUUUGAAAUGCCUUAAAGUUUAUACUCCAGUCUAAUUUAUAUAUUUUGUUUCCUAACCUGGUGCUCAUCAAAAUGUCACAAGCUUCCCCAAGGUUCUGAUGCACAUCCAGGUUUGGGAACUUUUUUUUUCUUUAAACCCUGCCUGAUAAUCAACACAUGCAAUAUGUGAUGGUGAUCAUUUAGAGAGCUGAGUGUUUUCCAAGAUAUUAAAAUGACUGAUUAAAAAAAAUAUUCAGGUUUAUCCCACACAUAGCAUCCACGAUGUUCCCAGGAAAUCAUCUCUAGCUGUCUGUUAGCACUGUGAGAAGCUAUUUCCAGGUCUCCUCUCGAGAGAGUCUUCCAGGCUGGUGUUACAAACUAAAUAAAGAUGAAGCUAAUUGCUGAGCUCUAUUCCUGGAACCCAAAAACAGCGCCAUCUUUUUGUUUAAGGCUGAAUCUCCAUGACAACAUCAGAUGAGAAGCUGGGUCAGUGUUUCUAGUUCCUGCAGAGGGCCACAGGUCAUGGACUUUUGUAGGCACAAGGAGUUGAUACAUCUUUCUGCAAUCUUUCCAAGCUACUCAGUAGGUCACCUCUGAAUUUAAUCAGCCCAGAAGUUACCAAAGAGAUGACCAUUUUUAAAUUUUCAGUGAUGCUUUUCUGCCCGACCAGGUGCAAAAAAAAAAAAAAAAAAAAAAAAAAAAAAAAGGUGGGUGAGUGCAUUGCUUAUCCUCUGUGCAUUGACUUCUCUUCUACUAAAGGGGUAGAAUAUUACUAACUACCUCAUAGGGUUGUGAUUAGGAUUAAAUAAGUGUACAUAGUAUGCUUAACAUAAUGUUUGGUAUAUAAUAUGAUGCUCAAUAAUUAGUUGUUAUUCUUCGUAUGAAUAUCACCAACUAAGCUGUAGCUGCUCAGUUCAUAUGGUACCCACUAGCCACAAACACGGGUUUACAUUUAAACUGGUUAACAUUAGGGGUGCUUAGGUGACUCAGUCGGUUAAGCAUCUGACUUCAGCUCAGGUCACGAACUCACAGUUGGUGGGUUCAAGCCCCACAUCAGGCUCUGUGCUGACAGCUCAGAGCCUGGAGCCCACUUCAGAUUCUGUGUCUCCCUCUCUUUGCCCUUCCCCCACUUGUGUGCACACUCAUGCUCUCUAUGUCUCAAAAAUGAAUAAACAUUUAAAAAAAAAAAACUAGUUAGAAUUAAAUAAAAUUCUUUUGUUCCUCAGUUGUACCAGCCACACUGCAAGUGGUCAGUGGGCACACAUAGUUAAUGACUACCAUACUGGACAGCAAAAAUAUAAAACACUGCCAUCAUCACUAAAAGUUCUAUUGGAUCAUGAGUGCUCUGGGCCAUCACCUAGAGAAAGUAAAAAGGAAGAUAGGAACAUCCUUCAUAGAAGAGAGGUCUUUUGUUCUUUGCACUUUCCAAUGAUUGUGGAAAUAGUCUAAAGACUCUCUCUGAAGGCAUUGGAGUCCAUUUAUUUUGUAGCAUCUAGUAAAGACUGGUCUACAUUGUGGAAUGUAAAAUAAAUACUGUGAACAACCACAACAAAAAUACCCAGAAAAUUUUCUCUCAGCUGGAAAGUUUCCCCAUUGCUUCCAUAUACUCUCUACAACGUUCUGGAUUUAUUGAUUCUCUAGUUGCACAUAAUUCUUGAAAACCAGGAAAGGUGGCAACUCUUUAGUCAUCACAUGUCUUACAGAAUGCUGUAGUUAGUGGAGAGGAUGAUUUUCUCAAUCACCACCCAAAUGGAAGCAGUGUACAUAUUCAUUUACCACACCAAUGUUGCUCAACAGAGGAAAAGCAACUUAAAUAUUCAAGGAUGUGAGCACAGGCCCUCACCCAAUCCCAAAUAGCGCCUUUCCAGGUACUUUUCAAAUUUGCAAUUUGGGUGUUGGGUGAAAACUUAUUGGUCUUUUCCAUCAGAGUCAAAUUUCCACAGUCAAAUUUGAUUGAAUUGUCCCAUGCAUUGGUCAAUGAUUUGUACUAUGCAUUGGUUAGUCCCUGGCAUUCGUGUCUGGCAGUGGUUUGUAAAUUUUUCAGAGUAAGGAAAAAAUACAAGGAAAAAACAAAAGAUGUCUAUCAUUUUCAACAAGCAGAAGUUUUAUGUGAAUCAUGAACAGUUAGUGAUGUCAUAUAUCGUCUAAAGGAGUCUCUGCUAUCAAUUUAUAUUCUGGAUAACUUUCACUGCAAAACUGACAUAGAAAGCUAGGAACAAGAGCCAGUGUAAUAUAUUAAAUCCCAGAGCAGCUCUAUCAACUGGUCCAGUAUAUUACAGUUGAAGAGAGACCUUUCCUAGCUUCUCAGAUCACUCAUUCCAGAACUCAGGUUGUAAAAUGGCUGCAUAAGGUAGAGCAAAAAUAAAAACUGCCUCUUUCUGUUUUUGAACUUUCCAUACAAGCUAUAUCUUAUCUAAUGGAGAAAAAACACAAUGGUUUAUGUUGAUUGCUGAUACUGUCUACAGAACAGUAGCAAUGAGUCUAUGUUCCAAAAGUGCAGAAAAGACAAAAAGAAAAAUCCAUAGAAUUUUUAAACAUUAGAUCAUGAUCAAUUAACUGUGAAAAUCAACUAACCCUUAUGCAACAUUUUAUAGUGUUAUUUUGGCAUGUGCUGGAUGCACCUCAUUUCAUCCUCAGGGCAUCACACUGAAGUAGGUGGCAUCAUACAGCUCAUGGGGGUUAAGAAUAUCAUCCUAGGUAUUAGUCACAAGGUAGCUUUAGAACCCAUUUUGACUCCAUUUUACACAUACCCAUGUCUCUUUAAAGAGCUGAAAUAUCUUUAGACUGACAAGUUCAUUUUUAAACCAGUUCAGGGAAAUCCCUCAUUAUAAAAGAUUCAGAUUUAUAGCACAGUCUGGAAAAAAAGAAAACAACUUUUUUUUUCUUCUACUUAUAGAUGAUUAUUGGCACUGAGUAGCCACUGGUCACCUUAUCUAUGGGAAGGUAAACAGCUCAAGCCAGAAUGGAAAAUAAAGAUAGAUGGCUAUAGAAGAAAUGGAUUAUUAAUACCAGAUAAUAACUUAGGCUGUACAUCUCCCUGAGACUAGGAGGCUGGCAUGGCUGGAGAUGAGUGUGCAGUGUCUGAUGGAAGGGCAAAGGGCUUUGUCUUGCACUUUGUUCAGCUUCUACUAGGCUUAUAAAGACCCUGCAUAUAACCAGUUGAAAUCCAAGCUUCUUAUUGUAAACUUGCAAAACUUACUAAAGAGGUUAAACCAAGUCUGAAAAGAAAGAGUUUACUAUUUCUUUUGUCUAUUAGUUUUCUUGUCAACAGAGCCUGACCCCAAACCAACCAACAUGAUUGAUGAAGUGUUUACUAUCAUUAGGGACUGGACACAUAAGGCUGGCACAGAACAAGCCACAGCUCCUUGGGGAGUUCACAACCCAAAGGAAAAGGAAGAACAACUAAGUCCUUGUCAGACACAACUCAUGGAUCCAUUAAAAGAAGUAUGUGAUGAAGACACAAAGUAGCCAUUUGCUCUCAUGGAUGGCAAGAGGACAGUCUCACAACUGUGGCUUGAACCAUGAACCAACAUGGGAGAGGGUGUGCGCCACACAGAGGGAUCAUCCUCAGUCAAGCCCAAGUACAUGAAGUGGUGGCAACAUUGUUACCAACAGUGCUGGGCAGCAGGUAUUGAGUACCUCCCAUGCACAAGCCACUAUUCUAAGUACUUGGCAUGCAUCAGUUCAUUUAAUUUUAAGAAUCUUAUUGUAUAUGCAGCAUUAGGCCCAUAUUAAGGAUGAGGAAAGUGAGGCACAGACAUUUUAAAUAACUUCCCCAAAGUCACACAGCUAAUAAUUAGAGGAACUUGCAUAUAAGCUCAGUCUUCUGGGCUCAGAGGUCAUGCUUGUGACCACUGUAAUGCCUUCCAGUUAUAGGUACAUUUAGGAGGAUCCAUUCUCCAGUAUAGUCAGACCACAAGGCUUCUCAAUGGUGGCGCUAGUGACAUUUUGAGCUGAACAGUUCUUGGUUGCAGGGGGCUGUCCUGUGCACUGUAGCAUGUUUAAGCAGCAUCCCUGGAUGCUGACAUACAGCAUCCACAGAUGUCAGUAGCACCUCCAUCCUACAGUUGUGCACAUCUAUGAGAAAUGUCUCUGGACAUUGCCAAAUGUUCUCUGAGGGCACAAUUUGCCCAGCUGAAAACCACUGGACAAACAUGAUGUGUGAAGCUGAAGAAAGGCAGAAAAAUAUAUCAGAACUGUUAAUAUCCUCAGUUCUGAAGGCUGUGGGAAUGUACCUUUGGAGAGAAAGGUGCCAUUUGGGGUUUUAUAACUGAGGAGUAGCAGCAGAGAUAACCUGUAGAAUCAUUAUGGCAGGAGAUCUGUGAGACAGAAUGCAUACUCUGAGUUCUUAACUUAGGAACAGGACAUUAUGAAUGGUAUGGUAUGUUCAAAAAUCCUGAAGUUAAAGAUACCAAAGGCUAAUAUAUAAGAACAGUGCAAAAGCUGAGGCAACAAUUUUACCCAGUGGUCCCUGGAAUACAGCCAAUCCCUGACCUGAAAGCUCAAAACUCAGUUUUAUGUUAGGCAAGAAAGCUUUUGGAUCGGGGGGAAAAAAACCGACCACCCAGCCUUCUUAAGAAGCUCCAACGUCAGAUAUCAUGUCAUUGUUUUAAGUGUGAACACAGUUAUGUGAACUUCAGUGAGGGCAAGAUUUACUGGACACUUGGCAACAGUGAAAAAAAUGGAAGUCUUCUCUCCCCAAGUCUCUAUAGGGGCAAAAUUUCAAACCGACAGGUAUGUGUUCAGAGCAGCUCUUUUAUAAACAGCAAGAAAGAUCUACCCACUUUUAAGUAUUCUACAAGAAACAUGUCAUAAAACAAAAGAUGGUUUUCAAACGAUCUAAUUCAGAAUUGAGCCUCCAGCAGUAAGCAGUGGCCUAAUUGUACAAUUUCAUCCAUUCUUCAAACAUCAGCUUUCUUUUCUGUUCCCUGUUUUGACUCUCAGUGAGUUAUGUCACCGGGAGGGAUAAGAAAGGAGUAUUUUCUGAGCUUUCUUUACAAAACUGCCAUGGCCAUUUUGAACCUAAUGCAGUUCCAAGCUUCUAACGUGGUUUCAGAGAUGGAUUUCUCUUAAGAGGAGUAACUAACCUGAAUUUAAAUUAAAAAGAAAAUUCAAAAAAAAGAACUUAAUUGCCUUUGAAAAGUCAUCUAAUCCCAGAGGAAGCAAACAGUGCAUCUCUGAUAGAAAAGGCCAGCCUUCAGGUCAGAGUCCAGGACUUUGGAAUUAGACAUAGCAUAAUUUUGACACAAACAUUUUCCCAUCUCAGCUACCUCAUGUGGCAACACGGGGAUUCGAGCACAUUCAUUAACUAGGCUCUUUUGAGGUUGGGUGAGAUGACACAAGCUAAGGUCCCAGGAUGCGGUCUGACCUAUGGCUGAUAUGCAGUAAUUAGUAUUCCUCUGUGUCCAGAAUUUAAGAGAAUCAUUUAGGACUUUGGCGAUAUCAGACUUUUCUCAGAGACUCUUCUGUGUUCAGAUAGGGGAAUGACCUGUCUUCAGGAAGAGCACAUCCCAGCCACUUUGUGAAUCUCCCUCAACUCAGGGCAGAAAGCUGCUGCCCCCACAGCCCAUCUCCCUCGAUGGGAGGCUGGAAACUGGAACCCCACCCUCUCCAUGUCAGCAGUUCCCCUGGGAAUAACAUCAGGCCCUCAACUUGCACCACAGUAGGAAAAAGACAUAAUGGAGAGCGUUGUCUUCGACAGCUUUGUUUUAAAAAAGAUAGUCAAAUAGAAUGUUUAAGUCUAGAUCAGGCAUUCAACUAAGGAUGUGAAAUUUUAAGCAGCUAUAGUUUUUUCAGUCUUUACAGUUUGUAUGUGAAGGAAAUUGCUAAGCUGUUAGAGUCUUCAUAAAUAGUAAAUAGACUUAGACAUAAAUACCCUGUAAUAUGUUCUUUGUUCUUUUUAUUCUGAGGCAAGUUGCAAUUCCUCAUUAAACACGAUACACCAUUACACAGCAGCCACUGUAUGGGAGGAACAGCCAACAAGAUGUACAGUUUCUGUACUGAUGAAAGGCAUGUAAAGACACCAAACCUCAAACAUCUGCCAGCCAUUGAUGGCAAAGGAGAACACUAAGCAAUGCCUUAUGGCAUUUUGAGGACAGCAAACAUCUGGCAUUAAUGUAAGGAGUUUUAAGAUGUCAGGAAGAAAUUCAGAUCAUACGAUUAGGCGAUCACUGCUCAUCUCAUAGGUGACUCCUUCCUUCCCUGCAGAAGUGAAAAAAGCAUUCCUCUCCAAGAAAGAUGUUAACAACAGAAAGCAAGCAGCCAGAAAGUGCAAUUGAUAAAAUCCCAAGAGGGCAGCGAAAACAAAGCAUUUUCCCCUCUUUCCUCCAGGAAGCAGGAGCAUGAAAUUAUUCAGACUGUUUGGGGACUGCUGAUACCAGGAGUGGCACUGACAGCCACUCAAGAUGUGCUUGGGACUGUGCAGUACUGAGAGGGUCUGGCAGAGCGACAGAUGCCAUCAUGCUGCCCAGCCUUGUCCCAGAAGAUGCUUUUGUUCUCAAUGCCAUUGAUUCUCCACUCUCCAGUGGAGUCCUGGAUCUGGAAGCUCGUGGUCACCUUUAUUUCAAGCCAUCCCUUCUGGCCUUCCCAAGAGUUGUAGGAGGAGUCUCAUUAAACUGGUAGUAGGAGCUUCCCUCAGAAAAUGCCCUCUCAGCCUAAAGAGUGGGCGGUCAGUUAACAGGGACUCCUAACAGAAGAGGUUCUUCACUCAAAUUAUUCGGAAACCAAACACUGAGCUGAACGGAACACAUUCAUGUAUUAUUCAUGUAAUGAGACCUGCUAAUCGUGUCUCUAAUUGGACAGUUUCAGACACUCAGGUCUAUUAAGUUGGGAACUGUUUCUUCCCCCUGGCUAUCAUAGCUUCAGUACCUGGCAUGGUUCCUGCCUGGCGCCUGCUGGAUGGGCAGUCCACUUUUUGAGCUAAUGUAUUAAAUACAACGAAAGAUGUAAUACAUGUAUUUUCAAGUAACAUUAAUUCAACUACAUGGAUUGUGCAGUAGCAAACGGUAGGAGAAGAAGAGGAAGAGAAGAAAAGAAAAAUGGCUCUCCUUGCUUUUCUUCUUCAGUCUAGAGGCAGGCCUCCCCUCCUAGGGAAAAGUGAAGCCUCAGCAAAAAUGCAAAGAGAAUCCAAAUAAGUAAUUCUGGACUUUUCAGCUUCUGCAGUCCCAGGCCUUAGCGAUUAAUGAAUAAUUUAAGGCAGUGCUUCUCAAAUUUUAAUGUUCAUGUGAUCAUCCAAGGAUCUCGUUAAAAUGCUGGUGUGGACUCAAUAGGUUGCUCAGACUCUGUGGUUCUAACACGCUCCUGGGUGCUGCCCAGGCUGAUGGCCUUUGGACCGCACUCUAGAUAUCAUGGAUUGGGGGAACUGUGCAGGAAAAUUUUGACCAUGCCCAACUUUCUACCAGGCAUGCCAACUUUAAAACCUAACCCCUAUACAAGGUGUGGGUCAACCGGAUGCAGACGUUUUAAACUAACCUCACAUAGUCACCGUAUCAUUAAAUAGUGAACAUGAACACUUGGCAUGAUUCAACCGACUAUUGCUACCUGAAGGUGUUUCAGUCUCUCUGAGCAGAAAAGAUAUAAAAAUACGGCAAGUUGCCAUCUCACUUGUGAGUCAUUGUAGGUUACUCUUGCGAGUACCAUAGUUGAAAGCACCUAAAGUGAUAAAAAAGAUAAAUUGUAAAAUAUUCAAGUCCCGUUUGCACUGUCAGAUAUACUGAUCUUAAUUACAGACUACAGAUUUUCAUCUAAUUGCUAACAGUGAGUCGGCUUUUGAAUAAUUAGGAGGAGGGGUGCGACUCAUGGCUGGAACAGCCUCAGAGUACAAACCACUUGUUUUUCAAAUGUCACUAUGAUAUUUCAAAAAAUGUUUAAAAGAGAAAGAUAGUAAUACCAAAACUAGUGCAAAUAUUAAGCCAACAUUGAAGUCUAGUGAAAGGGGCUGGCUGAGAUAAAGACACGUUGAAUCUGACAUUCUUGGUGCUGACUGCCCUUUGGAGUUACCCGGAGCGCUUUUAACCUACACCACCCAGCACUCUGUGCAGUUACAUCAGAUGGAGUCUAGGCAGCUGUGGUCCAAAUAUCUCCCCAGUGAGUCUAAUGGCGGUCAGGGCUGAGAACCCUUGCUCUAAUGCAGAGAUCCUCAACUCUGGUCCCAGGACCAGCAGGAUCAGCAUCACCUGAGAAUUUAUUGAAAACAAAGAUUCUUGCCCACUCAGCCCCUGACCUGCUGAAUCAGAAACUCUGGGAUUGAGGUCUAUCAAUGUGUGAUUUAACAAGCACGCUAGGUGCAUGCUAUUGGAAGUUCUUUCCUGAGAAGGAUGAGGGUUCUUGUCAAUGUUCUUACAGAAGAGAUUCUUAGGAGGGGCCAUCGAAAGGUCUCACGUUGGAGAUCUGUUGGACAGCCAGCCAACUGAGCUGAAGUGUUAAUUCUAGAGUUGAUUCUACUACCUCCAGUCUGGGAAUCUCAGCAAUGGAAGGAAACUUAAUGACAUUUAAUUAAAGAUCUAAUUGUCACCAUGCCAUUUUAAAAAUGUGAUCACGUAUAUUAUGCUUGAAUACCUCUAAGUGAUAGGAACUCACUACCACAUGGCCCAAUCCUUUCCGUUACAGAUGCUUACUAGGUACAGACUAUGUAUUU